rnacentral:lncRNA from 1 species
AUAAAUCCCUUAUUCAAAGUCUCCCAUAUUACUUCCUCUCAAAAGGGUAGAAUAUCUUUUCAUGUUGAACUUCUUAUUUCUCCAGUUCAUUCAUUCAGAUGGUAAAAUUCAUGAAUUGAACUAUUUUUCUCAUCAGGUUUUGUUCUGGUCAACCUUGAAGGGAAGACUUAUCAACAAACAAGCUCUGGCAGAAAUUAUUCUAAGAGCUAGAUUUCUCCCCUAUUAAUUAUAUGAGUGUCAAAAGCUUACUCGAGGAAAGAAUAAUUUCCACAGCAAGAGGUAGAGAUAUUCUAUAACAGUUGCUUAUAGUAAUUGCCUCAAUUCAUUUGCAACUUAGCUCCUGCUCUUUUGUCUAGCUGCAUGUAAAAAGGCACAGCAAAGAGCGCUGUGUCUGAGAUGUGACAUAAUAUGUAUUUGAAUCCUUGCUCUUUGUACUAGCUCUGUUACCUGGAUCUUGCAAAACCGUAGAAGAGUUCCAUUAUUAUCAAGCACUGGUCAUCUUUCAGUAUCCCUCUUCCUAACAUGCAUUAGUUCUAGUGGCUAAUUCAUGUUUGGGAAAGUCACCUAAGUAUCCUCUUUGUUUUUGCCUCAGUUUGUUUUUGGCAAAAGUUACCUAAUAUUAAUUUCCUGUUUGUUCCUGUAAGAGUGUGUGUCUUGGAUGCUGGAGGCUGGAAAAGCUUUGCAGAUCCUCUGCCCUAAGUGUAGAGAUGCAUGUUCCCUCACCUAUGUAGAAUAAAGAAAACUAUAGCAAUUUCUUUUUGUUUCCUCUGUCCCAGCGCACAGAGAUAUUUGGUUUUAGUUAUGUGGAUGAUGACUUCAUUCAGAACAACUCACAUUCCCCGCUGAUUUUCCACCAUUUCUGUAUCAGUAGCCCCUGUCCAAGGUUUUCUUCUUAUAAUGUUACCAGUGGUGGAUCUUGACCCUCAAUAAAUAGAAGUAAAACAAGAGUAAACCAAGAGUCUGAAAUGGGCUUGAACAAGGCAGUUUAUUGGGGCUUUCAGCUUAAGCAGAAAGGGAGACAACAACAGGAAGGAACCUGCUGCUGGCUUCCCCAAAUCAGGUGGCUAAGCAUCUCCCCUACAACUGCCCCCACCCUGCCACUCCUGCCAAACUGCCUCUCUGAAGGCCAACUUGUGAAAUUCUCUAUUCUUGCAUGAAGAUAAGGAGGUAUGUAUCUAAAUACAGCUGUACCUGUCAGUGGCAGUUUUCAGAGACUUUGAAGGCUGAAGAUGAAAAUAAGAUGAGACUAUUGUUCUCUGCUUGACCGCUACUCCCCUAUGACAAAGUUUGGAAAAUGCCUUCAGACAGACAGAAUAUAGGGUAGAUGUUGAGCUUAUAUCACGUACAGAAUUUCCCUUCUUUCUGUUGUCCAAUGACUACAAAUAGCUACUUCAUAAAAUUUAUCCAUCAGUAUAGUAGUUUUAUGGUUGGAGUAUAUGUAGGCUAUCCGUAACUGUGUCUUCACCAGAAAUGGAAAUCCGUUUUAGUUGUAUUUACUUCCCAUUAAAUUUUGUGGAACCUAUUCACCAUGUCCAAAGUAAUAGCCUUCCUGAGGAAGUCUCCCUAUAUUUAUAGAAGCAGAAGAAAUAGAUUACUUGGCCAACAUAGAUACAUUUUCUUAGACACAAUCCUCAUCCUAAUGACCUACUGACCACCAUCAGAAGAGGUGAGCAUAGUGACCACUUCUUGCAACCAUCAGUGGUGGUGCUGAAAGUUUUGA